AUUGAACGCUGGCGGCAGGCCUAACACAUGCAAGUCGAGCGGAUGAAGGGAGCUUGCUCCUGGAUUCAGCGGCGGACGGGUGAGUAAUGCCUAGGAAUCUGCCUGGUAGUGGGGGAUAACGUCCGGAAACGGGCGCUAAUACCGCAUACGUCCUGAGGGAGAAAGUGGGGGAUCUUCGGACCUCACGCUAUCAGAUGAGCCUAGGUCGGAUUAGCUAGUUGGUGGGGUAAAGGCCUACCAAGGCGACGAUCCGUAACUGGUCUGAGAGGAUGAUCAGUCACACUGGAACUGAGACACGGUCCAGACUCCUACGGGAGGCAGCAGUGGGGAAUAUUGGACAAUGGGCGAAAGCCUGAUCCAGCCAUGCCGCGUGUGUGAAGAAGGUCUUCGGAUUGUAAAGCACUUUAAGUUGGGAGGAAGGGCAGUAAGUUAAUACCUUGCUGUUUUGACGUUACCAACAGAAUAAGCACCGGCUACCUUCGUG
rnacentral:rRNA from 1 species